UGGGGAAUAUUGGACAAUGGGCGAAAGCCUGAUCCAGCCAUGCCGCGUGUGUGAAGGAGGCCUUAUGGUUGUAAAGCACUUUAAGUGGGGAGGAAAAGCUUAUGGAUAACACCCAUAGGUUCUGACGUUACCCACAGAAUAAGCACCGGCUAACUCUGUGCCAGCAGCCGCGGUAAUACAGAGGGUGCAAGCGUUAAUCGGAAUUACUGGGCGUAAAGCGAGCGUAGGUGGUUUAUUAAGUCAGAUGUGAAAUCCCUGGGCUUAACCUAGGAACUGCAUCUGAUACUGAUAAACUAGAGUAGGUGAGAGGAAAGUAGAAUUCCAGGUGUAGCGGUGAAAUGCGUAGAGAUCUGGAGGAAUACCGAUGGCGAAGGCAGCUUUCUGGCAUCAUACUGACACUGAGGUUCGAAAGCGUGGGUAGCAAACAGGAUUAGAUACCCUGGUAGUCCACGCCGUAAACGAUGUCUACCAGUCGUUGGGUCUUUUAAAGGCUUAGUGACGCAGUUAACGCGAUAAGUAGACCGCCUGGGGAGUACGGCCGCAAGGUUA
rnacentral:rRNA from 1 species